GAUGAACGUUGGCGGCGUGCCUAACACAUGCAAGUCGAACGAUAGUCGCAAGACUAUAGUGGCGCACGGGUGAGUAACACGUAGCUUACCAGCCUCUCAGCGCGGGAUAACGGCUCGAAAGAGGUGCUAAUACCGCAUAAGCUCACGGGAUGUAGAGACUAGUGAGAAAAGGUGCAAAUCACUGAGAGACGGGGCUGCGGCCCAUCAGCUAGUUGGGCGGUAACGGCGCACCAAGGCGACGACGGGUA
rnacentral:rRNA from 1 species